AUUGCCUUUGAUACUGGUUAUCUUGAGUUGUAUUGAAGUAGGCGGAAUAUGUAGUGUAGCGGUGAAAUGCAUAUAUAUUACAUAGAACACCAAUUGCGAAGGCAGCUUACUAAGUACUAACUGACGCUGAUGGACGAAAGCGUGGGUAGCGAACAGGAUUAGAUACCCUGGUAGUCCACGCCGUAAACGAUGGAUACUAGCUGUUCGGGGCCUUGAGCUCUGAGCGGCUAAUCGAAAGUGAUAAGUAUCCCACCUGGGGAGUACGUUCGCAAGAAUGAAACUCAAAGGAAUUGACGGGGGCCCGCACAAGCGGUGGAGCAUGUGGUUUAAUUCGAUGAUACGCGAGGAACCUUACCAGGGCUUAAAUGUA
rnacentral:rRNA from 1 species